CAAAAAGGUGUUAAAUCGUUAUUUCACAUUACAUUUCGCUUCUUCGUUUACUUUUUGGGUAGAAGUCAGACCUUGAGGUUUACAUUUUGAAAACGGAACUUCGGCAUACAUCAUGAAGUCAACAAUCAUACUAAGCUACUUAGUUCUUCUUUCGUUUACUGUAAUGACAGUAUCGAGCCAAAUAGUUAUUCCCCAAGGUGACCCUUCUGUUUGGCCAGAAGAAGAAGUAACAGCAAUAUGGACUGCAAUGCUCCUGUUUUUCUUUUGUUCGUCAACAGAUAUGGUAAAUGGCCUCUUCAAUGGCAAUAGCCCAUCACCUAAUUAACAAGUCACUACUAGGAAGAGGAGCGUAUAUUUGUUGUUGAGGUUUUGAAAAGAACUAGAAGAGCGAGAUACAACUCUGCGUGUUACAAAUUAGUUAAAAUAAAAUAUUUUGUAACUUU